ensembl:lncRNA
ACAUACUGCAUUUCUUUGAAAGCUGACACCUUUACUACUCUAUAAACCUCUUUUUAAAUAUAUCAGAACCUCUCUGAUGUGUUUCUAUAACUGAUCUGCAGGUAGAACAUGAACGUUUUAACCUGCACAAGUGAUGUGGUCUUCCAUCUGCUCGCCACCAGAGCUCACCUUCUUAUUAUAUUGACGCUCACGCUACACAGACUGUUUCACAUCAUCCUGGACUACAUUUCCCAUGUUCCAUUGCACUGAUUACACCCUCACCUGCAGCCAAUCACACACACCUUUAAUAGGGAAUGUGAAGGUACGUCACGCAGUGUUGCAUUAUGGGACGUGGGCGCCAUGUUUAGAGGCACGAUCUCUGUUCACGUUUUCGCCAACCGUUGCUAAGACAUUUAAUUUUGGGUGUGUUCGGCUAAAACGAGGUAAAAUUGAAGAACGGAAGAAAUGGAGAAGUUGAAAGAAAAAGAGAAGGGAAUCGGGAGAAACUAAAUGCCACUGCCAAAAAACUUUAUUUAGACAAACUGACCGAGAUAAACAAGAUAGAUCCAUAUGAUUUAGCAGCCCAAGACUGGAUUACGGAUCCAGACGCACUACCUCCGCUCACAUAUAUGGACAUCGUCAAUUACCUCGUUUUUGGAUUGACUGCGUACACUUUGCAGGAGUUUAAGAGCUAUAAAUCCCUUCAAGCUCAUGAACAGUUUUGCAGCGGCUGGGUACAAGACCUCCUCAUUCACAGGCCGCCUAACUGCAAGAGCACAGUCGUUCUGGCAAAGGUGAUGCACUCCCAGCGCCUUAGUGAAGUUCCUCUGAAGGCUUGGGUUAUCAUCAACAACAAUGGUGAAGUUUCCUCAGCCCACUGUACGUGUAUGGCUGGAGUUGCAGAGACAUGCACCCAUGUUGGGGCCUUGCUUUUUAAAAUGAAAGCAACUGUCCGGUGCAGAGAAAUGAGGACUGUCACAGACAUGUCUGCAUACUGGAUCUUACAGAGUAAUGUGAACAAAGUUCACGGUGAGGUAAGCCAUAAGAUUAAUUACACCUCUGCUGUUGCCAUGCAAAAAUCAAUGAACUCUCUGUUGGAUGGUGAGACUGACAACAAGCAUGGAUUGAGGACUUGUACCAAGACGAUCCCUACACCAUCACCUACACCUUCAGAGCUAAGACAGUUUUACACUGAUCUUCAUAAAACAGGUGGCAAGUCUGCUAUACUGAGUGUGCUGCCAGAUAACUGCGAGGAGUUCAGAGAUCCUGUGCAGCCUGUCACACAAUUAAAAACCCUUCACCGCCUACAUGACCCCAGGCUUGUUGGAUGUGAUUUAUCAGUAUUGGAACAGCACUGCCAGGCACUACAAAAACAUGCUGAUGUUUCAGAGGCACAAGCUGUAGAGAUUGAGGAGAGGACAAGGAAACAGCAGAAAUCUUCAUUGUGGUUUGCUGCUGGAGCAGGCAGGGUCCCCGCCUCGAAUAUGCAUGCUGUUUAUGCUACUGAUAUCAAAGCACCAGCUCUGUCAACUGUAAAAGAGGUUUGUUAUCCUAAGGACAGCAAAUGUAGCACAGCUGAUGUCAAUUGGGGCAUUACACAUGAAGAGCAGGCAUUGAGAACAUAUGUGGAAAAAAACAAGAGAAAACACAAUGGCCACGAAGUUGCCACAUGUUUUUUUUUUUUAUAA